AUUCUACAUAUACAUAUAUAAUACUGAAAGACAUACAUAUAUAUAUAUAUAUAUAUAACUAAUACUAAAAGGUAUAUAUGAGGAGUAGCCAGAUUGUCCACAUCAUCAUUUUAAAUCAGCCAAUAGGGUGUCUGAAAUUCGCCACGUCAGAUACUCGCCUACGAGGUGUUUUGAUUUUAGGGUUGAACCCGUCUUCCAUCUCCGCCAUUCGAUAGCGUUGUUUCAUCUCCUUCCCAACAAUCCCAAAAGCUCCCGUUACAGAUUCAUCGUUUUUUGCACCUGCGUUUGACGAUUCAAAAUCAGAAUCCUAUUUCAAUUCAUGGAUCUGAAAAUUAAUGAAGCUCUGGCGAUGGAAAUUUGUCUUGAUCAGAAGUGGGAGUCUUGGUGACAUUUAUGGCUGCAGGUUAGCGUUUCAUAUGAUUCCUCAUAUGUUUUUAUUGUUCGUUGAUUUGGAUUGGGUUGGUGAUUUACAUGUGAAGUUGUGGCUGAUGCUGAGAACCGGUAGAAGCGGACAAAGUCUCCUUUCACUGGUUUCAUAUGUUGUUUGCCUGUUUGGCAUAGGGUGUGGCAUGGUGUCCUGUAAAUUGAGCUUCUAUGGAGCUAAAUGGUGAACUCAUGAAGAAUCUGAGACUGUAGAUAACGAGAUGCCGUCCGGCAUCAUUAUUGAGCAUAAUGAAGAAAUUUUGGGAAUCAAUUCAUAAGAAAUGACCUCAGAUGGAGAAAGUCGUGAAGGCGUUUGAAAGAGUCAACACUUCUAAAGGCGGCCGAGCGAUUCCGGAAGAUCAGAGACCUGACUGUUUCUUCUUUGUUGCCGGUAGUGGUCCUUGGAUUUACAUUUUUACUGCUCUCUACCCACCGUUUUUAGAACACUGACUAAAUGUUGUUUUGGUUUGGUGCAGUGCAGUGCAAUUUCAGAUACAUGUGUAGCCAUGAAGGAAUGAGUAGACGACCCUCACACAGAGACAACACUAAAAAGCAUCCUCCCAUGCGUAGACGAGCAAACAACAAACCAAACUCUUGCUCAAAUCAAAGUUGUCAUCAACAUCAUCGUCACCGUAGUGAACACCUUCGUCUACGCCUUGGCGAACACAAACCCAUCUCCAGGCCAAAACUUCUACUACAACCAGUCCAGACCGCCAAUGCCUCCUCUCUGCAGCUCCUUCGACUCAAACAUGGAAGAUCGCGAGUGCAGCACCUGGGAACUGUCAAUAGGAAACGCAUCAUCGGUGUGGGAGAGCUACAUAUGCGAGGUAACAAAAUCCGAUGUCUGCACGACGGUGGGGAGAGUGACGCCUGAGAUAUACAAGCAGCUGGUGGUGGCUGUGAACGAGAGCUACGCGUUGGAGCAUUACACGCCGCCACUGCUUGCUUUCGGGAUUGCAACUUUGUGAGGGAUACGUUUGAGAGUAUUACAUCGGACUACUGUCCGCCCUUGGAGCGUAAUCUGAGGGUUGUGAACGCGGGGCUGGGGAUGAUCUCUGUUAGAGACUUAGAGUGUUGCUUUGUCUGGUGCUGUGGGUAUUCUAUGCGAACCGCCCCCAAAGGGAGGAAGUGUUUGCGGAUCCUCACCGGCCUCAAGUAAAAGAUCUUAGCUCUGGUAACUGGUUUGAUAAUGGUCGCUCAAAUGAUGAAACUAAGCGUUAUGCGGAGGUCGUGUAGUAUACAGAGGUAUAGAUAUGUAGAAUCAUAUGUUGUAUUUUCAUAUAUAAAAAAGAAUAGUAAUAAAAGUCAUUUGUGUAGCGUUCA